ACCUGUCGUUUGAUGGACAGCUCCCUCACCGAAUAGCAGAAGGCCAGGCCGCCGCGUGGCACGCGCCUCUCGCGCGGAGGGGCGGGGACACGGGCUGUUAGGCGGGAAAAGCGUAUAAAAGCUGCCGGGCGGGCAGGGGUGCCCCUCAGGUAGCGGACCUGUCGUAGGUUUGCUUUGUGGCUUUUCGGGUCCCGAAAUGGAUCUCUAGGGACCUCUUAAUUCUUAAAUAUGGUUUUGAGCCUUUUUCUACUAGUCGGAAAGCGCUUGGCUGAGUAGCAUUAUCAGAGCUAGGAAAGCACGCAGCAAGUGCGUGAGGUGCGGAGAGAAGCAGGGUGGGUUCUCAGCACCUCCACCGCUUAGAGGCCGCGGGGCUUGCAGUUGUGGCUGCCGUUGCUUCGUGUUCGCUGGACGCUCUGCUGUUGCUGCUGAAAAUCAUUUUUGGGAUCUCCUGCAUCAGGUCGUGGAGGAAGGAACAAACUGCUGCACCAUUCAAGGAUUUUAAGGUAGAGUUUCACCGUGAUUCAUUGGUGAAAUAUAUGCUCAAUCCAAACGUUAAACCUGUCUAAGAACCAUCAUAAUUACAGUGUGUCCUCGGUGCUUGUGGGAAAGAAGACAGAGCGCAGAAUUAAAACUUUGCGAAGUCAGAAUGAGGCCUGCAAUGAAGCUAGCCCUGAGGUUUCAAAAAGCUGUUGCUGUAGCUAUGUAGGGGAAUUUUGCUUUUAAGAAAGCAAGAAAAAAAAAUAAAACUGGAGGCCACCUUUUAAGAAUGCGAUUGCCAAAGUUACAAAGAAUGAAUCAUUGGCGCCGAUUUUUACGUUGCGUAGCUCCGUAGUUAUCUUUGUUAUGCUGACUGUGUCAGAUUGCUGGUGAUGUGUCUGCAGAGGGCUGCUGUUGAGUCUGUAACAUUGACACCCUGAUACUGUCCUCUCCUCUUUCAGCUAAUUCAACUAUUGAGAAAGAUCAAAGAAAAGGAGGAGGAGGGCUGACAAGAACCAGUGUAUGAGAUGCCUGCAAAGCUUUAAAUAAAUAAAAGGGAGUUAAGACUUCAAAUUUGUUGCAGGAUAUCUGGGGAUGUGGGGCCCUGUUUUGCUUUUACAAAUUAAGUCUUCUCUCACAGAGCAUGCUAUCAUGCUUAUAUCUUUGUGAAUCCCGUCGUUUGAAUAUGAAUAAGUUUGAGCAAAGCACAGUUGUAUAUUACUAGGCAUAUCUGGAAAUAUUAAAGCUAAAAAAACCCCUGUGGCUUCUGGUAGACUACCAACUGCUGCUUUUGUUUCCCUGCAUAGCAAAAUUAGAUUAGUGGCUUUCAGUGUUAGUAUCUAGUUUGUUUCACUUUCCAAUUCACAAGAGUUGAGGAAUGUGUAAGCAAGAGCCUAACCUUGCCUCCCUCCAGAAAAGAACAACUCUACAUGAAAACUUAAGAUAAAAGGGAAAAUUGGAGACAAUGAGCGGUGAAAGGUUUCACAGUGAAAGGUUCCUCAGCUGAAAUAAGGCUUUGUGGGCCAAGCAGGAAUGUUUUUGACCACUUGCAGAAAGUAGCAAUGUAUUUGGAUUAACAUUUGAGAUAGGGGUAGUUCAGGAUGGUCACGAUAUGAUCUCUGUGACGCUUCCAGCACAGUGGAAAGGACCCUGUUUUUCUCCUACUUGCUUUCCAUGUGCCGGGAGGUGAGGAUGUGGGUUGUGCCUUCUGAAGAUCUGCUUGCUCCUGCCCUAUGGGAUCAGAGUGCUUUAGGCAUCAUGCUAAUGCCAGAGAUUUUACUGUGUUAUGUCAAAAUCUACCUUCCAUUUUUAAUGGUGAGAGUUGGCUGUCCAAGCAGUUGGCAACCAUUUAUUAAAAAUAAACCUAUAUUAUCUUUCUUUAAUGCUAAAUGUUUUUACAGUGCGUAUAUUUCCUUGAAGCCUCCUUGGACUGUUUUUGGUAGGUCUGAAUCAACUAUCAGAAGUUAUUGGGAAUGUAAAAAUCGUGAAGUUGGAACUCAGUGGAUAUGGAAGUGAGGUAUUUCAGAUGUGUGGGCCUUGAAUUGAUGCUCAUGCGUGGUUUAGAUCCACAUUAACAGUAUUGAUUAGUGACUUACGGUAGCCCAAAACCAGAAGACAAAUGAAUCUAAAACCUUAGUUUGUGAAUGAUCAGUUGAUGAUGGAGUGCUGUGUGUGUGUGGAUAUGGAGCUCUCUGUGAUAUGGUUUGUUUUAUUAAUAACAUUUUGUAACGGCUCUCUUCCUUUCAACUAGUAAAUCAGUGAAUAAGUUACGUAGGUCGCUGUGUGUGUGCCGUCAGUCAGUGCUCUGUGCCUUCUUUACAGCUAAACCAGUAAACUAAAUGCUGCUCAGGCCUCCAUGAAACGUGCUAUUGGAAAGCUAGGUGUGAGCGAGAUUGAAUGUCUCCAUCUGCAGAGAUAGAGCAGGAAUGGGCCCUGGUGCGGCCGCUCUGCACUCGGCCUGCUGGGACCCCUCUGAGCAGGAUGGCUCUGAUGCUCCCCUGGCCGGUAGCUGUGGUGGUUAUCGCUGCCUGCUGUGCCUGCUGGUGGCUGAUACAGGCCCAGUGCCCAUGUGGAAGGAGCAGCAAGGGAGGGAGGGCUGUUGCAAGAGCAGGAGAAAACCGCACUCCCCGCAGAGUGUGCCGAGAUCUCUGUGCCUGCAGAGCAGGAAUGGGCCUUUAUCUCCAUCCAAAAAGGGUCAGAGAGGCUUGUUACGCUUCUGAAAAUGACCUCAAACAAGUUUGUUUUGUUUUAAUUCUCUCAAAGCGUCACCAUUUUGUAUUAGGGUAUCUCAGGACUUCCUAGAGCACAGCCGGAUGUUGGUGCCUUCCCUCAGCAGCCUAACGCUGCCUCCA